rnacentral:rRNA from 1 species
UAAUACCGGAUAGAUCAAAGAUACUGGAAUGUUCCUUGAUCCAAAGCUCCGGCGUCCAAGGAUGGAUCUGCGGCCUAUCAGGUAGUAGUGGGUGUAACGUACCUACUAGCCUACGACGGGUACGGGUUGUGAAAGCAAGAGCCCGGAGAUGGAUUCUGAGACAUGAAUCCAGGCCCUACGGGGCGCAGCAGGCGCGAAAUCUUUACAAUGCAGGAAACUGCGAUAAGGGGACCCCGAGUGCCAGCAUCUAAUGCUGGCUGUCCAGCUGUGUAAAUAGCAGUUGUUAGCAAGGGCCGGGCAAGACCGGUGCCAGCCGCCGCGGUAACACCGGCGGCCCGAGUGGUAACCGAUUUUAUUGGGUUUAAAGGGUCCGUAGCCGGCCUGUUAAGUCUCUUGGGAAAUCUGGCGGCUCAAUCGUCAGGCGUCC